rnacentral:rRNA from 1 species
GAUGAACGCUGGCGGCGUGCCUAAUACAUGCAAGUCGAGCGAACGGACGAGAAGCUUGCUUCUCUGAUGUUAGCGGCGGACGGGUGAGUAACACGUGGAUAACCUACCUAUAAGACUGGGAUAACUUCGGGAAACCGGGGCUAAUACCGGAUAAUAUUUUGAACCGCAUGGUUCAAAAGUGAAAGACGGUCUUGCUGUCACUUAUAGAUGGAUCCGCGCUGCAUUAGCUAGUUGGUAAGGUAACGGCUUACCAAGGCAACGAUGCAUAGCCGACCUGAGAGGGUGAUCGGCCAAACUGGAACUGAGACACGGUCCAGACCCCUACGGGAGGCAGCAGUAGGGAAUCUUCCGAAAUGGGCGAAAGCCUGACGGAGCAACGCCGCGUGAGUGAUGAAGGUCUUCGGAUCGUAAAACUCUGUUAUUAGGGAAGAACAUAUGUGUAAGUAACUGUGCACAUCUUGACGGUACCUAAGCAGAAAGCCACGGCUAACUACGU